GGGGAUAACUACUGGAAACGGUAGCUAAUACCGCAUAACGUCGCAAGACCAAAGAGGGGGACCUUCGGGCCUCUAGCCAUCGGAUGUGCCCAGAUGGGAUUAGCUUGUUGGUGGGGUAACGGCUCACCAAGGCGACGAUCCCUAGCUGGUCUGAGAGGAUGACCAGCCACACUGGAACUGAGACACGGUCCAGACUCCUACGGGAGGCAGCAGUGGGGAAUAUUGCACAAUGGGCGCAAGCCUGAUGCAGCCAUGCCGCGUGUAUGAAGAAGGCCUUCGGGUUGUAAAGUACUUUCAGCGGGGAGGAAGGGAGUAAAGUUAAUACCUUUGCUCAUUGACGUUACCCGCAGAAGAAGCACCGGCUAACUCCGUGCCAGCAGCCGCGGUAAUACGGAGGGUGCAAGCGUUAAUCGGAAUUACUGGGCGUAAAGCGCACGCAGGCGGUUUGUUAAGUCAGAUGUGAAAUCCCCGGGCUCAACCUGGGAACUGCAUCUGAUACUGGCAAGCUUGAGUCUCGUAGAGGGGGGUAGAAUUCCAGGUGUAGCGGUGAAAUGCGUAGAGAUCUGGAGGAAUACCGGUGGCGAAGGCAGCCCCCUGGACGAAGACUGACGCUCAGGUGCGAAAGCGUGGGGAGCAAACAGGAUUAGAUACCCU
rnacentral:rRNA from 1 species